rnacentral:rRNA from 1 species
UACGUAGGUGGCAAGCGUUGUCCGGAAUUAUUGGGCGUAAAGCGCGCGCAGGCGGCCUUUUAAGUCUGAUGUGAAAUCCCACGGCUCAACCGUGGAACGGCUGGGUAUACUGCCUGUCUUGAGCCAACUAGGGGCGAGCGGAACAGACGGUGGAGCGGUGAAAUGCGUAGAUAUCGUCUGGAACGCCAAAGGUGAAAACAGCUCGCUGGGGUUGUGCUGACGCUGAGACACGAAAGCCAGGGGAGCGAACGGG